GGAAGAUUAUAUGAGGAAGCCACCAAAAAGCAUUUAAAUGAAUAUGCAGAAGCCGGGUUACGUACACUAGCAUUUGCUUACAGAAAGCUUGACAUUUCUGAAUAUUCUUCUUGGAACGGUGAAUUUUCAAAAGCCAAAACUUCCAUCGGUGGUGAACGAGACACAAUGCUUGAACAUUUAUCUGACAUAAUGGAAAAAGACCUAAUUCUUGUUGGCGCAACCGCCGUGGAGGAUAAACUUCAGCAAGGGGUACCCCAAUGUAUUGAUAAACUGGCACAAGCUGGUUUAAAACUAUGGGUUCUUACUGGCGAUAAGAUGGAAACCGCAAUCAACAUAGGAUUUGCUUGUAGUUUACUUCGGCAAGGGAUGAAGC